rnacentral:rRNA from 1 species
UUUUACGGCCAUACCUCCCUGAACACGCCCGAUCUCGUCCGACCUCGGAAGCUAAGCAGGUCGGGCCUGGUUAGUACUUGGAUGGGAGACCGCCUGGGAAUACCAGGUGCUGUAAGCU